GACGUAGGUGGCGAGCGUUACUCGGAAUCACUAGGCGUAAAGCGCGCGCAGGCGGGUGCUUAAGCCUGCUGUGAAAUCUCUCGGCUCAACUGGGAGGGGUCAGCGGAAACUGGGCGUCUGGAGUGCGGCAGAGGGGGGUGGAAUUCCGCGUGUAGCAGUGAAAUGCGUAGAGAUGCGGAGGAACACCGAUGGCGAAGGCAGCCCCCUGGGCCGACAUUGACGCUCAGGCACGAAAGCAUGGGGAGCAAAAGGG
rnacentral:rRNA from 1 species